rnacentral:rRNA from 1 species
ACGAACGCUGGCGGCGUGCUUAACACAUGCAAGUCGAGCGGUAAGGCCCUUUCGGGGGUACACGAGCGGCGAACGGGUGAGUAACACGUGGGUGACCUGCCCUCAGCUUUGGGAUAAGCCCGGGAAACUGGGUCUAAUAACUGGAUAUGACUCCAUGACGCAUGUUGUGGGGUGGAAAGCCUUGUGCGGCUGAGGAUGGGCCCGCGGCCUAUCAGCUUGUUGGUGGGGUGAUGGCCUACCAAGGCGACGACGGGUAGCCGGCCUGAGAGGGCGACCGGCCACACUGGGACUGAGACACGGCCCAGACUCCUACGGGAGGCAGCAGUGGGGAAUCUUGCGCAAUGGGCGAAAGCCUGACGCAGCGACGCCGCGUGAGGGAUGACGG